CUUUGCACGAAUAGUUAUGCAUCAUAAUUAAUGAUCGUGGAUAUCUCUUCGAUUUUUUUUAAGCCACACAAGCAUCUGACCUCUACAGGUAUCCACAUGACAGAUCUAAGAAAGCUUCUCUUUUAUUUUUUCACUAAGAAACUAGCAAGCAACCUUGUAGAAGAUGAGAGAACUCCUCUCAAAUUAGCACAUCGUAGCUUGGCAUAUAAAAGGAAGAAGGCGCCCAACCCUUGGUCAUGGAAACCAAGGACAUCCAACUCUUGGGCAUGAGGAAGAAAGGAGAGGGAGAGG
rnacentral:lncRNA from 1 species